CACAGCCCCUGAUGGAUUUUGAGCUUAGCUUUCCUGCAAAGCACAUGGAGUUGGUUCUCCCAGACCGACUGGUGUCCACGUGUGUUCUCAUUAUUAUGGUUGCUUUGAAAUCAUGAGUUUGUACUGAUUUGAGAGAUGUGAAAACUCUAAGGUCUGUAUUUUCGUCCCCUUUAACAAUAAUUCUGGACAGGAUAAACAAGCCACAGCAAGGAGACCAUUUUGCUGUGAAGUCAUUUGCUUCUCUUAUUUCCUGUCUGCCCUGCUCCCCUCUCUCUGAGACGAUCAUGUUGAUGUGGCUAAUUUAUUUCUAGUUCCCUCGUUCUACAUGCCUGCUCUCAAGAUAAAGUACAUCAAGUGUCCCUUUAAAAAGUUCUGCUCAAGGUGGAGAAUGCACACGUCUCUAUGACUCCGUCUCUGCACAGAUGAAGCUCUGGAGAUUAUAUAUAUAUAACAAAUGUAAGAUCUGAAAGGUGGAGAGAAGAAAGCAGACUGGCCAGAGACCUCAGGAUGCAAGGAAUGACAUUCAAGAGUGUCCACAAAUAACCUUAUCUACAAACUAGAAACAGACUCACAGAUGCAGAGAGCAGCCUUGUGGGUGCAAGUCGGGUAGGGGUAAGGUCAAGUGCAAUGGCUUCCUGUUUUGUCUGCUGCAUCCACACUUGCCCUCCACAAUCUUUUCUCAGAAACCAGGGGACGAGAAAACAUAAAGGCUUUGGACCUGGAGAAGGACACUCCCUUUUAUUCCCAGCAGCAGAGAGUGAUGUCGAUCAAACGCCAUGAGCACAGAUCUUAAAGCAAUAUUGGCAUUUUCGAAGCUCCCAUUACUGAUUAACCUUUGCAUUCCUUUUCCUCCUUGAGGAGUCUGAGUUUCUUGUCUUUUAUCAGGACCUCUUAACAUCCAGAAUGUGGAUCUAUCUAUAAUUGCACUUUUUUUUAAUCCAUUCAUGAUGUUUUUACACACUCUCUCCAGACUUCUGUUGUUUAUCUGAGCUAUUGAAGGGCAGAAGGAAGAUGACUGAUUCAUUCCUAAAAUUCAGUACGCAGUCCAUACAUGAUUUUUUAUCUAAUGAACUCAAACAGUCAUAGAUUAUUUCAUCGGGAAAAAAUACAUUCCUCUUAUUCUGCCAAAGUUGCAAGUCAUCAUACGCAAUGAUAAGAAACGUUGGCUGUGCUAGAUCAAAUUAAAUGCAGUAAGAAAAGAAAGUGCUGUCUCAGAAAAAGAGAAGGUUGAUCCCAAUUUUCUCUAAUAUGAAUGAAAUGCAUAAAAAAUCACAAUGCAGUGAAAAAUCACGGAAGCAAAUUUUUGAGUGCAUCUCCGGUUAUACUGGAAAUCUUGCUGUUGUUUAGUUGCUAAAGUCCCUUUUGAGACCCUGUGGACUGCAGGCUGCCAGCUC